AGAGGUCAGUUCAGAAAAAAGGGGCUGGGCUCUGUGCUUUUUUUAGAAUACAAUAUUCAAAUAAUCUAGCUAGCUCGCUAGCUAGCUCGCUAGCAUACAGGCUAGGCAGUAAGAGAGUAGCGAGCUAGCAUGCAGGCAGUAAGAGAGUAUCACAGAUAGAAGAGGAAGAGGGAUUGGAAUCAAGGCACAUAGCUGCAGAACGGAAGAACCCAUACAGCAGCUUUAUCCAUCAGGGGAAAAGUGUGUGCUCUAAGUUUUUCCGAUUUCUCUUUGCUGCAGCCAAAUCCCAUGAACCAGUUGGACGUGCUCCAAGAUAUUUAUGGCUGCUCUGAGAGACGUUCUAGGUAUAGCUGAUCUAAACAAGAAAAGCCAUCUUUUCUCAGCAAUCAGGAUAUCUAGAAGAGCUGCUAGAAGCCAGGAAAGCUGCUCGACAUGAAGGGCCACUAAUGCGAAUCGAGAGGAUAAAGUUCAUCCGUCGUGUAGUCGGGGAACCAGAGAGUGUAGCCAAAAGAAUGACUUUGGUAUUAAAGGUAAGUUAACAUUGUUAAUUAGUCUCUUUCUUCAACAGGCCCACCAAGAAAUAGAUCACCAGUGUUCUUGCAAACACUGGCAGCUGGUAUGAAAGUCAACAACCUCACUGUGGCUGAUGUUGCUUAUCCCCUAAUUACGAAGAAGGUGAUAAACGUGUUCCAGUUGCAGCUCAUUCACGUGCGCAAUGGCUGCAUCGUACCAUAUUAUCAAGGACAAAUCAAAGAGCAUCCAUGGAGCAAUAUUGCCCAGCCGGAUACACUGCAACUGAUGGUGGAGGGAGCAAAUAUGAAGUAAUGAAACAGUUAAUGGAUUUAUUCGGUGACGUCCAGCCUGGAGAAAACUGGUCAAUCGUACCAUAUUAUCAAAGACAAAUCAAAGAGCACCCAUGGAACAAUAUUGUCCAGCCGGAUACUCUGCAACUAGAUGGUGGAGCAAAUAUGAAGUAAUGAAACAGUUAAUGGAUUUAUUCGGUGACAUCCAGCCUGGAGAAAACUGGUCAAUCGUACCAUAUUAUCAAGGACAAAUCAAAGAGCACCCAUGGAACAAUAUUGUCCAACCGGAUACUCUGCAACUAGAUGGUGGAGCAAAUAUGAAGUAUAAUGAAACAGUUAAUGGAUGUAUUCGGUGACAUCCACCUGUUAUGUUUGAUGAAAUUGGAGAGCCCAGUACCAGCUAUAGACAUGGAGCAGUUAAUUUUGUUCUACUUUGCUGAGCAUCUUACAUUAUACGUAUAUCUACCAAGCGCUUUCCAAUAAGAUCUGCCCUCUCUUGACAGAUGCACAGGUCCUCCGAGGGCAAUAGUGCAUGCGGCAGCCUUGUGGCAGUCUACCUUUAAUGUGAAGCUGCCCUUGAUGCUCCGUAUUGGGAGAGAGAGAGCACCCCAGGCGCAAAAAGUUUCUAGUUGCCUUGAACCAAGCACAAUACACUGAGUCAUACUGCGUAAUGGACAGGGUUGGCCAGUGUAUUGCAAGCUACUUGCAUGGAAAGAGAAGGGGUUUUCAAGUGGACAAAAAAAUGAGUUUUCGUGUUGCGAAGAGAGUUCCUUGCCAAAUGAAAUGCAAGUAUACAUAAUUAUUAGGAAAACUUCUGUCACAGUAUAUAUAUGUGUUCAUUUUAAUCUAGAAUGUGUACCUUAUACAAUGUCUGUCGGCAGUGCUUUGACAUAUCGAAGACUUCAAGAUUGUUCUAAACAAGCUGCAUAAGUACUGACCGAUUAAAGGGUGGAUACUGAAACUCAAACGGAGUUGAUGUUAUGUACAUUGCAAGAAAAAACAUGGAUUCUGUUUCCAUGCAGAGUAAGUCUACGAAUAACAUUAAUUUAACAGAAUUUAACACCAGCACAUGUGAAAGUAAUGAAGGUACUACAUGGUUACAAACCACAUACCUGAAUAGUGACGACAAGCGUUUCACUUUCUGCUGAUGAACCGUGUCACCGUGAAAACAUUGGGGAACACUUUUUUAGUGUCAUAUUGUUUGUGAAAAUGGAUGUGGUCAGUUGCUAGGCAACGAUUAUUGUG